rnacentral:tRNA from 1 species
AUUUAAAUAAUUUAAACAUAAAAUCUUACAUUUUCACUGUAAAAAUAGAAUCUAUUUCUUUUAAAUA